GAUGAAGAACGCAGCGAAAUGCGAUAAGUAAUGUGAAUUGCAGAAUUCAGUGAAUCAUCGAAUCUUUGAACGCACAUUGCGCCCGCCAGUAUUCUGGCGGGCAUGCCUGUUCGAGCGUCAUUUCAACCAUCAAGCCCCCGGCUUGUGUUGGGGACCUGCGGCUGCCGCAGGCCCUGAAAACCAGUGGCGGGCUCGCUAGUCACUCCGAGCGUAGUAAUACAUCUCGCUCAGGGCGUGCUGCGGGUUCCGGCCGUUAAAAAGCCUUAUUUACCCAAGGUUGACCUCUGAUCAGGUAGGAAGACCCGCUGAACUUAAGCAUAUCAAUAAGCGGAGGA
rnacentral:misc_RNA from 1 species